rnacentral:rRNA from 1 species
AUGAUGUAUUUGGGAGGCAGUGAAGCUAUGUUAGACAUUGACAGAGAUAAGCUUUCUUUGCCCGAACUUUUGGGGCAUUUAAGAGAUCAUUGCACUGAUGUGGAGGGGAUACAAUGUCAGUUUUAUUGGUUAGUUCCAGGAAAAGAGAUGAAUGAUGGACUUGUUUUUCUGCAUGAUGACAACACUGUUCUUAAGAUGGCUGAGUUUGUUUGUGAUGGAGGAGUUGCAUAUGUGUAUGUUGAGAAGCAUGCUCCUGCUGAUGGGGAAGAAACAGUUGCAACAGCAUGCUCUGCUGGAGAGGAAGAGGAACAGUUCACCCCUUUAAGUGUAGUUAUGCGAUAA